rnacentral:tRNA from 1 species
UAUUUAUUAGUUUAAAAUAAAACAUUAUAUUUUCAAUAUAAAAAUAAUUAUUUAUUAUAAAUAU